ensembl:lncRNA
GUGAAAACAGAAGUUGCUCUGGAUUUUCUAGGGACCAUAUAUUGGUCGGCACAUCCAAACAUUUGGUAAACACUUCUGGGAAGGAGACAUAGCAAUGGCUGUUCUUGGAAAUCAGAAGAGGGAUUGAUGUCAAAUCUCUGCAUCUCCAAACCGCAUGAUGGAAAAGGGCAGAACUGCCAGCAUUUACGUUUAGAAGACCUCUUUGCCAGGAACAAAUGCUGACAAUUUGAUCUGCUCUGGGAUCCAUUCAAGAUUCUGUUUACCCAGCUUUUGCUCUGAAUUGUAUCGUUAUAGAUUACCAACUUAACUUACCAACCACUACAGAACUGGUGAUUCAUGUCUGAAGCAGUCUUUCAGUACCAGCUGCAGUCCUACAGGUGGUAAAUCUUCUCUAUUUUCAGAGCAUCCCUGGGAAGAACCCUGGAGUGAAGGAGGAGAAGCACAGGGGGUGGUGUGGCGCUGAACAGAGCCUGGAAAUGCUAUAUCUCUCAAAAUGCUGCACUCCAGGGAGCCCUGAAAGCUGCUGCAACCUAUCUCAGAAAAUGCUAUGUCAGAAAGAAAAAUAGAUUUUUUUCCUAAACUUCCUUGAAUUCUAAAGACAACAUUUAAGGCAAUCCUAAGAAGUAGCCACAGAAUGUGACUUUUUUCCCUUUUUUUUUUUUUUUUUUUUUUAAGUGCUUGUCUGAAAAUACUGCCUGAUAUGCCUGGAGAGAACCUUGGAGUACCAAAGGAAAUACUUGUGUCAUUGGCUUACUAAAUGAAUAGUAACUCUAUGGAUGUCAGAAUGAUUCAGUUUUGUCUUUCCAUGGGCUGCCCUUCUGUCAGAUGUGUCUCCUUUCUGCUGGAGAACUUGGUGUCAAAUCAAACUGUACUGGGACAAAAAUAAGCCAAUUGAUCAUGGGAAGGAAGUAUACUAAAAAAGCAGGUUUUACGUUUCCAAAAGUUCAUGACAUUCUUAGGUUAAUUAUUUAAGUGUCAUUAGAGUUUAGAAAUUUAUAAUUGAGACUCAGAUUGUGAAUUUUGGCAAAUAUGAUACCACCAGAGUUCUAGACUGAAAUGCAGUGUGCGAAGUAGGCUUUGCUACUUAAAGUAACUGAAGAAAAACUUGUCCUCUUCACCAGAAAAAUAAGAGUUUUGACAAGGAAAGCAAAACUUUCUCUGAAUAGCUUAUUGAACUUUUCUG